AUACGGAGGAUGCGAGCGUUAUCCGGAUUUAUUGGGUUUAAAGGGUGCGUAGGCGGACGAUUAAGUCAGCUGUGAAAUGCCCGCGCUUAACGCGGGAAGUGCAGUUGAUACUGGUUGUCUGGAGUGCCGUUGCCGUGGGGGGAAUGUGUAGUGUAGCGGUGAAAUGCAUAGAUAUUACACAGAACGCCGAUUGUGAAGACUCCACUCGAAGCGGUAACUGACGCUGAGGCACGAAAGCGUGGAGAUCGAACAGGAUUAAAUACCCUUGUAGUCCACGCAGUAAACGAGGAUGACUAGCCGUCGGCGAUAUACCGCCGGUGGCCAAGCGAAAGCGAUAAGUCAUCCACCUGGGGAGUACGACCGCAACGGUGAAACUCAAAGGAAUUGACGGGG
rnacentral:rRNA from 1 species